rnacentral:rRNA from 1 species
AUGUAUAAAGGCGGUUGCAGUGUGGUACUUGAGGCGGUGGCCACACAGGACCUCUGGAUUUGGCACUCCUUCUUUGGUAUGCCCGGAACUCACAAUGACAUCAAUGUGCUGCAGUGCUCUCCUGUCUUUGCCAAGCUUGUUGAAGGUCAUUCUCCUUCGGUGAACUUCGAGGUCAAUGGGCGGCAGUACAACAAGGGGUACUACCUAGCUGAUGGCAUCUAUCUGAAAUUGUCUACAUUUGUGAAGACUAUCUCAAACGAUGUGCCAGGAGGCAAGAAGUCCCACUUUGCCAAGGUGCAGGAGGCUUGCAGGAAGGAUGUCGAGCGGGCAUUUGGUGUGCUCCAAUCUCGAUUUGCUGUUGUCCGGUACCCUACUCAGACCUGGUCGAAAGAUCAAAUGUGA